rnacentral:rRNA from 1 species
GUGGGGAAUCUUGCGCAAUGGGCGAAAGCCUGACGCAGCCAUGCCGCGUGAAUGAUGAAGGUCUUAGGAUUGUAAAAUUCUUUCACCGGGGACGAUAAUGACGGUACCCGGAGAAGAAGCCCCGGCUAACUUCGUGCCAGCAGCCGCGGUAAUACGAAGGGGGCUAGCGUUGCUCGGAAUUACUGGGCGUAAAGUGCGCGUAGGCGGACAGUUUAGUCAGAGGUGAAAGCCCAGGGCUCAACCUUGGAAUUGCCUUUGAUACUGGCUGUCUUGAGUACGGGAGAGGUGAGUGGAACUCCGAGUGUAGAGGUGAAAUUCGUAGAUAUUCGGAAGAACACCAGUGGCGAAGGCGACUCACUGGCCCGUUACUGACGCUGAGGCGCGAAAGCGUGGGGAGCAAACAGGAUUAGAUACCCCGGUAGUCC